UACGUAGGGGGCGAGCGUUGUCCGGAUUUAUUGGGCGUAAAGCGCACGUAGGCGGCUUACUAAGUCAGGGGUGAAAUCCUGGAGCUCAACUCCAGAACUGCCUUUGAUACUGGUAAGCUCGAGUCCGGGAGAGGUGAGUGGAACUGCGAGUGUAGAGGUGAAAUUCGUAGAUAUUCGCAAGAACACCAGUGGCGAAGGCGGCUCACUGGCCCGGUACUGACGCUGAGGUGCGAAAGCGUGGGGAGCAAACAGG
rnacentral:rRNA from 1 species